UACGUAGGGUGCAAGCGUUAUCCGGAAUUAUUGGGCGUAAAGAGCUCGUAGGCGGUUUGUCGCGUCUGCUGUGAAAACUCGAGGCUCAACCUCGAGACGUCGAUGGAAACCAUCUGGCUAGAGUCCGGAAGAGGAGAGUGGAAUUCCUGGUGUAGCGGUGAAAUGCGCAGAUAUCGGGAGGAACACCCAUGGCGAAAGCAGGUACCUGGGCUGUUACUGACGCUGAGGCUCGAAAGCUAGGGGAGCAAACAGG
rnacentral:rRNA from 1 species